AGAGUUGAUCCUGGCUAGGACGAACGCUGGCGGCAUGCCUAACACAUGCAAGUCGAACGGGGGUAGCAAUACCCUAGUGGCGAACGGGUGAGUAACACAUAAGCAAUCUGCCCUUCACAGGGGGAUAACAGCGGGAAACUGCUGCUAAUACCGCAUAAGACCACGGUACCGCAUGGUACAGGGGUAAAAACGAAUCAGUGGUGAAGGAUGAGCUUAUGUUCCAUUAGCUAGUUGGUGAGAUAACAGCCCACCAAGGCGACGAUGGGUAGCCGACCUGAGAGGGUGAUCGGCCACACUGGAACUGAGACACGGUCCAGACUCCUACGGGAGGCAGCAGUGGGGAAUAUUGGGCAAUGGAGGAAACUCUACCACCCAGCAAUGCCGCGUGAGUGAAGAAGGUCUUCGGAUUGUAAAGCUCUUUGAUUGGGGACGAAGAAAGUGACGGUACCCAAAGAACAAGCCCCGGCUAACUACGUGCCAGCAGCAGC
rnacentral:rRNA from 1 species